CAUAUUUCUGUCGAUACAAUUGUAGUGUGAGAGUUGGGUUUUGGAGGCUGUCGUCUCGGCGCCGCGGGGAGCGUCGGCCGGCCGCCGUCUGCCCCGUCCCCUCCGGUGUGGACGGAGGGCACAUCUGGUGUCGGAGCGGUCCCGGCGGCCGUUCGUCCCAGUUUCGGGGCCAUGCCGGCGCGUCGGAUAGGACAGAGGGGGAGUCGUGUCCGAGCCAUGGGACCGCACGGUGGUGUGUGAGGGUGAGCGAGCAAUACAAAGCAAUCUGGCAAAGAUUACCUUUUACAAGCUAUUUCGGCAACAUGCCUGAAGAGAGCGAUGGUGCAGUGACGCGGCAGUGAUCGGCACCGUUUGCAACGACUUGCAACGGAGCUGUCGAGGCAGUGAGAAGCAGGGGUCGCCCAGGAGCCGUGGCGUCUGCCGUGGACCCCGCCCGUCACCUCGUCUGUCCCGGUGGCUGCUGCUGGACCGGCCCAUACACAGCCGGCCGGGAGGAUCGGCAGAUACGGCGAGGUGGACUGCGACCGGCAGAAGAACCUAGUGCCGCUGGACUAACUGGACACUGAGCGGCUGGGCCGGUCUGUGCAAUGCUCUGGCGAGUGAUGCUCGCAGUGAGGGUGCUGGCGAGUGAUGCUCGCAGUGAGUGCGCUGGCGAGUGAUGCUCGCAGUGAGGGUGGUGGCGAGUGGUGCUCGCAGUGAACGUGUUGGCGAGUGAUGCUCGCAGUUAGUGCGCUGGCGAGUGAUGCUCGCAGCGGUGAAGGUGACAGCCGGUGGGGCUGUGGAGGUGGUGGCAGCUGGUGGGCUGUGGAGGUGGUGGCAGUGCCGCGGCACUGCACUGGAAAUUCCACAGGAGGGCCGUGUGGUGGCAGUCGCCAGCACUGCAAUGGAAAUUCCACAGGAGGGCCGUGUGGUGGCAGUCGCCGGCACUGCACUGGAAAUUCCACAGGAGCCGUGUGGUGGCAGUCGCCGGCACUGCACUAGAAAUUCCACAGGAGGGCCGUGUGGUGGCAGUGACCGGGACUUUUUAGAAUAAGUGUCUGAUUGUUUGUGAGCUCGUGGUUUUUGUGUGCAUUUGAUUUAAGGUGACCAAUUGAUUUUGUGUGUGCCGUUGAUGGACAGGAGAGGGCAAGUGGUUGAAUGAGAGAGCUGGUAGUUUCGUGGCAUCUGUGGUCCGUGACAAAAUUGGUGAGCCUGGCCAAGCGCAUUUCUUCAUGCCGGGCGCUGCACGUAAAAA